rnacentral:lncRNA from 1 species
AAAGCCUUUGGCUUGGAAUGUCCUAAACACAUUGCACAAAGCUACUCUGCAUGGUUAUCUUUAAUCACGUCACAUAGGAACCAAUUAUGAUGUAGAAUGUUGCCACUCAAAGUGUGAUCUUUGGAGAAAAGCAUUAUCACCUACUGGAAACCUGUGAGAAAUGCAGAAUCUCCAUCCCCACCCCAGAAAUGCUGAAUCGGAUUCUGCGUUUAAUCAAGGACCUCAGAAAGGAAAUGAGAUCAACCAGAUAACCUUCUUGGAUUCCUUCAAGUGUUGACUCCACAGUACCUUAUUUUCAAGGUCAAGCAAGUGCCCAAAUGUGACCGACGCUGCCAUUCACAGUAAAAGGCCAAACAAGAUGGCCAGGCCCUUUGCCCUCAUUAAGAAUGUAAUCUAGAGCUGUAGUCCUCAAGCAUUUAUCAUCACAUACCCAUCAAUAAAAUUUGUUGAGUGUGCACCUCCAA